GGGUCCGGGGGGCUUCAUCCUACCGGAGGAUAGAGUGGUCGGGCCGCCACUC
rnacentral:ncRNA from 2 species